AACGAACGCUGGCGGCAUGCCUAACACAUGCAAGUCGAACGAGACCUUCGGGUCUAGUGGCGCACGGGUGCGUAACGCGUGGGAAUCUGCCCUUGGGUUCGGAAUAACUUCGGGAAACUGAAGCUAAUACCGGAUGAUGACGUAAGUCCAAAGAUUUAUCGCCCAAGGAUGAGCCCGCGUAGGAUUAGCUAGUUGGUGAGGUAAAGGCUCACCAAGGCGACGAUCCUUAGCUGGUCUGAGAGGAUGAUCAGCCACACUGGGACUGAGACACGGCCCAGACUCCUACGGGAGGCAGCAGUGGGGAAUAUUGGACAAUGGGCGAAAGACCUGAUCCAGCAAUGCCGCGUGAGUGAUGAAGGCCUUAGGGUUGUAAAGCUCUUUUACCCGGGAUGAUAAUGACAGUACCGGAGAAUAAGCUCCGGCUAACUCCGUGCCAGCAGCCG
rnacentral:rRNA from 1 species